rnacentral:rRNA from 1 species
CCUACGGGGGGCAGCAGUGGGGAAUAUUGGGCAAUGGAGGCAACUCUGACCCAGCAACGCCGCGUGAAUGAUGAAGGUCUUCGGAUUGUAAAGUUCUGUGAUGGGGGGUGAACACAAUGACGGUACCCCAAUAGCAAGCCACGGCUAACUACGUGCCAGCAGCCGCGGUAAUACGUAGGUGGCAAGCGUUAUCCGGAAUGACUGGGCGUAAAGGGUGCGUAGGUGGUUUAGUAAGUUGGCGGUGUAAUUCAGGGGCGAAACCUCGGCGCUACCGCCGAAACUGGUAGAGUGGAGUGCAGGAAGGGAAAGGGGAAGUGAUGGUGUAGAGGUGGAAGGCGUAGAUAGUAGGAAGAACAUCAGGGGCGAAGGCGAGUGACUGGAGUGUAACUGACGCUGAGGCACGAAAGCGUGGGGAGCAAACAGGAUGAGAUACCCCAGUAGUC